rnacentral:rRNA from 1 species
GACGAACCGUGCGAACGUUGUUCGGAUUCACUGGGCUUAAAGGGCGCGUAGGCGGGUGAUCAAGUCCGGGGUGAAAUCCUCCAGCUUAACUGGAGAACAGCCUUGGAUACUGGUCAUCUGGAGGAAGGUAGGGGCAUGUGGAACUAAUGGUGGAGCGGUGAAAUGCGUAGAUAUCAUUAGGAACGCCGGUGGCGAAAGCGACGUGCUGGAUCCCUUCUGACGCUGAGGCGCGAAAGCCAGGGGAGCAAACGGG